CUAUACAACCGCACAUGCAUUGAUGUUUGUUUGUAUAUUUUAUAAGAGUUAACGAAGAGCUUCUGAAAAACACACAUGCCUAUACAAACAUUUGUUUUCGUAUAUUGCUUAGCCAUAUCCGGGUACCAAAAUUCACGACCCUGCCUCAACAGAAUGUACAUUGCUUAUCCAUUAAAUUUAUUUAAAAUAUUUUGAUACACAUAUACAUUAAUUUUGCAAGCAUGAAUUGGUAUGUAAUAAGAUAAUUUAUCUGCAUUUAAUUCUA